GAAAUGCGAUAAGUAAUGUGAAUUGCAGAAUUCAGUGAAUCAUCGAAUCUUUGAACGCACAUUGCGCCCACCAGUAUUCUGGCGGGCAUGCCUGUUCGAGCGUCAUUUCAACCAUCAAGCCCCCGGCUUGUGUUGGGGACCUGCGGCUGCCCGCAGGCCCUGAAAAACAGUGGCGGGCUCGCUGUCACACCGAGCGUAGUAGCAUACAUUCUCGCUCAGGGCGUGCUGCGGGUUCCGGCCGUUAAACGACCUUCAUAACCCAAGGUUGACCUCGGAUCAGGUAGGAAGACCCGCUGAACUUAAGC
rnacentral:misc_RNA from 1 species